rnacentral:rRNA from 1 species
UGGGGAAUAUUGCACAAUGGGCGAAAGCCUGAUGCAGCGACGCCGCGUGAGGGAUGACGGCCUUCGGGUUGUAAACCUCUUUCAGCAGGGAAGAAGCGAAAGUGACGGUACCUGCAGAAGAAGCACCGGCUAACUACGUGCCAGCAGCCGCGGUAAUACGUAGGGUGCGAGCGUUGUCCGGAAUUAUUGGGCGUAAAGAGCUUGUAGGCGGUUUGUCGCGUCUGCUGUGAAAAUCCGAGGCUCAACCUCGGACUUGCAGUGGGUACGGGCAGACUAGAGUGUGGUAGGGGAGACUGGAAUUCCUGGUGUAGCGGUGAAAUGCGCAGAUAUCAGGAGGAACACCGAUGGCGAAGGCAGGUCUCUGGGCCACUACUGACGCUGAGAAGCGAAAGCAUGGGGAGCGAACAGGAUUAGAUACCCCCGUAGUCC